CUUCGCCAAUCGAUGAUAUCCGUAAUGGAUUGUCUUCUUAUUCUCGCAGUCGGGGCAUCUCUGCCGGUUGAGGGCACCGGCCUUCCUCCGGUGGAGCUCUGCCUUGUUCUGACACCAACAACAAGCACUGAUUACCUGCGUUGCGUUUGCGUGACGCAUCCACAGAUCCGACAGAGUUUGGAUUCCGCACAAGGGUUCUUCAACCCUUAAAUAGCCGCGUAUUCAAACUAGCCGAUCAUACGCUCCUUGCCUUCGUCACAUCCGUUCCAUCCAAGCAGUGUGGAAGAGGAAGUGAGAUUUGGCAGAUUACUGGUUCCGGUUCAAUCUUCUGAACCAACCGCGAAACCUUCGCCAAUCGAUGAUAUCCGUAAUGGAUUGUCUUCUUAUUCUCGCAGUCGGGGCAUCUCUGCCGGUUGAGGGCACCGGCCUUCCUCCGGUGGAGCUCUGCCUUGUUCUGACACCAACAACAAGCACUGAUUACCUGCGUUGCGUUUGCGUGACGCAUCCACAGAUCCGACAGGGUUUGGAUUCCGCACAAGGGUUCUUCAACCCUUAAAUAGCCGCGUAUUCAAACUAGCCGAUCAUACGCUCCUUGCCUUCGUCACAUCCGUUCCAUCCAAGCAGUGUGGAAGAGGAAGUGAGAUUUGGCAGAUUACUGGUUCCGGUUCAAUCUUCUGAACCAACCGCGAAACCUUCGCCAAUCGAUGAUAUCCGUAAUGGAUUGUCUUCUUAUUCUCGCAGUCGGGGCAUCUCUGCCGGUUGAGGGCACCGGCCUUCCUCCGGUGGAGCUCUGCCUUGUUCUGACACCAACAACAAGCACUGAUUACCUGCGUUGCGUUUGCGUGACGCAUCCACAGAUCCGACAGAGUUUGGAUUCCGCACAAGGGUUCUUCAACCCUUAAAUAGCCGCGUAUUCAAACUAGCCGAUCAUACGCUCCUUGCCUUCGUCACAUCCGUUCCAU